rnacentral:RNase_P_RNA from 1 species
GUGCUGGAUAACGUCCAGUGGGGGCGACCCUAAGGAAAGUGCCACAGAAAAAGACCGCCUGGCUCUUAUCUGCUUUUUGCAGUGGGCUGGGUAAGGGUGGAAAGGUGAGGUAAGAGCUCACCAGCAGGUUAGGCGACUAACCUGGCUCGGUAAACCCCACCUGGAGCAAGGCCAAAUAGGGGAACACAUGAAGUGGCCCGCUUCGUUCCCGGGUAGUGCCGCUUGAGGUGUCAGGCAACUGGCAUCCCAGAUAGAUGACCACCAAAACAGAAUUCGGCUUAUGAUUUGCUCAACAG